rnacentral:rRNA from 1 species
UACGUAGGUGGCAAGCGUUGUUCGGAUUUACUGGGCGUACAGGGAGCGUAGGCGGUUGGGUAAGCCCUCCGUGAAAUCUCCAGGCUUAACCUGGAUAGUGCAGAGGGGACUGCUCGGCUAGAGGAUGGGAGAGGAGCGCGGAUUUCCCGGUGUAGCGGUGAAAUGCGUAGAGAUCGGGAGGAAGGCCGGUGGCGAAGGCGGCGGUCUGGAACAUUUCUGACGCUGAGGAUCGAAAGCGUGGGGAGCAAACAGG